AGAGGAGACAUGCGCGCAUAUCAAUAAGCGGAGGAAAAGAAACUAACAAGGAUUCCCCUAGUAACGGCGAGUGAAGCGGGAAGAGCUCAAAUUUGAAAUCUUAAAGGGUUUCCCUUUACGAAUUGUAGUUUAAAGAAGUGUUUUCUGUUGAGGUUUUGGUAAAAGUUCUUUGGAAUAGGACAUCAUAGAGGGUGAGAAUCCCGUAUUUGACCUUUACUUUCAACUUUGUGAUACACUUUCAAAGAGUCGGAUUGUUUGGGAAUGCAGUCCAAAAUGGGUGGUAAAUUUCAUCUAAAGCUAAAUAUUGGCGAGAGACCGAUAGCGAACAAGUACCGUGAGGGAAAGAUGAAAAGAACUUUGAAAAGAGAGUUAAACAGUACGUGAAAUUGUCAAAAGGGAAGCGUUUGACACCAGUGUUGUUUUUCUGAAAAUCAAUUAAAGAACUGUUUAUGCUAAGCUGUUUAGACUUUAUCAGCUAUCUGUUUAGUUUUGAGCUUUUCUUUAAUGCACUUUUCAGUUAACAAGUCAACAUCAAUUUCUUUUGCUGUAAAAAAGCUUGAGGAAGGUGGCUUGAGAUUCGUCUUAAGUGUUUAUAGCCUCUUGCCUAUGCAGUCGGAGAGAUUGAGGUCUGCAGCGUAGAUCCUUCGGGGCUAAAUGCAUUUGUGCUAAGUUAUAGCAUUUUAUAGACAACUUGUUGACUAUGAUUUGUCUUGUAGCUUACUCGCUUAUGUUAUUUUACCUACGCUUAGGAUGUUGAGCGCAUGUCUCUCUCU
rnacentral:rRNA from 1 species